AUGCUGCCCUGUGUACCCGAACCUCACUCCUCGUCACUGCUGAGUGGUGUUCCUGCAUGUGGACACACCACUAUCGGCUCCCCCAUCAUGGACGUACAUCUGAGUGAUGUCCGGUUUGGGGCUAUCGCCAAUACAGCUGCCAUCAACAUUCGUGUGGACACGUGCUUUCGAUUUAUGAAUGAGAUGGGUAGACAGGCGUGGGGCUCGCUCUCACGCACCCAAACGUGCAAGGACGGGGCAGCCGUGGCGUCCAGGUGCCCCUCGAGGGCAGCCCAGAGGGAGCCCCGGCCCAGUGAGCAGUCGGUCCCUCCCCGCUUCCCCGGCCCCCGGCCACCUACCGGUGCUCUGCGGUCUGACCGCACGCACCUGUCCUGGACAUCUCACACAGCGGCGGCUUUUGAAAAAGCACUGAGGCAAAGCAAGAAAGGACAGUGCUGGGUGACCCACGGCUGCCCUCACGACUUCAUUUCCCCCGAGGAGCAGGAGAAACGAGAGAACCUGGAGGAGGGGGCUGGCGGGGGUGCGGGGGGCAAGUCUGGCAGCGGGGAGGCUGGGAGGCAGCAGGGGCACAUCCCUGCCGCGCUGACCUUCACUGGCCCAGGAAGGGCCAGCGCGGGCCCCAAACCGUUGUGCACCUCUGCCCGAGGCCGGGUCUGGCCUCUCGCCCCCCCGCCCACGCAGCAGCCUGCAUUUCAGGUCACCUCCCUGCUUAAACCCAGCAAGGCCGCCCAGAGCCUGCGACCGGGGCCCGCUGAGGCGAACAGAAAACCCAAACAAGGCAACAGAAGCAAGACGCCCCACCCCAGCCCCACCCCUCCCGCGCUGGCUGUAGGAGACCACGCGGUCGGCCUGUCCCGGGUUCUCAGGGCCCGCUGCUGUACGAGGAUUCCUCCCCGGCGUGUGUUUCAGCACGUUUCGGGGGGAGGGCCCAAGAAUCUGCACCCGUGGUCCCUGGGCCACACCUCAGAGGAGGCUCUGAAUGCUCCUGUGGCGAGGGUGAACUGGAAAUCGCUUGGAACCAACCCGGACGCCUUCAUGUCUGGAAAGCCCAUCACGAGGCGCUCGUCUGGCCUCCUGGCCCUGGCUCUGGCCACCCUCCUGGCUGCAGGGGCAGGGGCUCCGCUCGGCAGGAAGGCCUCCCGGAAUAAGCUGCUGCUGGUGUCCUUUGACGGUUUCCGCUGGAACUAUGACCAGGACACACAAACCCCCAACCUGGAUGCCAUGGCGCUCGACGGAGUGAAGGCCCGCUACAUGACGCCGGCCUUUGUCACCAUGACCAGCCCCUGCCACUUCACCCUGGUCACUGGCAAAUACAUCGAGAACCACGGAGUGGUUCACAACAUGUACUACAAUACCACCAGCAAGGUGAAGCUGCCCUACCAUGCCACGCUGGGCAUCCAGAUGUGGUGGGACAAUGGCAGCAUACCCAUCUGGAUCACAGCCCAACGACAGGGCUUAAAGACUGGCUCCUUCUUCUACCCUGGCGGGAACGUCACCUACCAAGGCACAGCGGUGACACUGAGCCGGAAGGAAGGCGUUCUGCACAACUACAAAAAUGAGACGCGGUGGAGGGCCGACAUCGACACGGUGAUGAAGUGGUUCACUGAAGACGGCCUGGACCUGGUCACACUCUACUUUGGGGAGCCAGACUCCACGGGCCACAAGUAUGGCCCCGAGUCCCAGCAGAGGAAGGAGAUGGUGAUGCAGGUGGACAGGACAGUGGGCUACCUUCGGGAGAGCAUCAGCAGGAGCGGCCUGGAGGGCAGCCUCAACCUGAUCAUCACGUCCGACCACGGCAUGACCACCGUCAAAAAGCAGGCCCCGGACCUGGUGGAAUUCCAUAAGUUCCCCAACUUCACCUUCAAGGACAUCGAGUUUGAGCUCCUGGACUAUGGGCCCAACGGGAUGCUGCUCCCCAAGGAAGGGAUGUUGGAGAAGGUGUAUGAGGUCCUCAAGAAUGCCCACCCCAAACUCCACGUCUACAAGAAGGAGUCCUUCCCUACAUCCCUCCACUACGCCAACAACCCCAGGAUCACCCCGCUGCUCAUGUACAGUGACCCUGGCUACGUCAUCCAUGGGAGACUGAGCGUGCAGUUCAACAAGGGUGAGCACGGUUUUCACAACGACGUCAUGGACAUGAAGACCAUCUUCCGGGCCGUGGGCCCCAGCUUCAAGACGGGCCUGGAGGUGGAGCCCUUCGAGAGCAUCCACGUGUACGAGCUCAUGUGCCAUCUGCUGGGCAUCGUGCCCGAGGCCAACGACGGGCUCCUGAGCACCCUGCUGCCCAUGCUCCAGGAAACCAACAGCAGGCCCCCGAGCACCCCCUCAGGCAGCGGAGGGCACGUGCGAGCCCCCGAGGUGGGCCUGGCCCUCGUGUCUGUGGACGAGAAGGGAGGCCCGUGCUUGGAGGCUGCCAACAUACACUCCUUCUUCCAGGCCUGCCUCUUCCAGGAAGCCUCCAGAAGCUACCCUCUCACGGCGCCCCGCCCCAAGAGCCGUGCCAUCCGCGGCCACGCGGGGGCGCGCGGGAGCCCCGCGCGGGAAGCUCCAGCGGGGGGCUCAGGGCAGGCGGCGGGUACGCUUUGCCUCGUCGAGCCGCACGCCUCCGCCCUGAUGCCCGCCCCGCCUGGCUGGCCGGCUGCAGCUCCGGUGGGGAUGAAGGACAGCCUGGUCGCUGCAGUCACAGGGGCCAGCUCGGACGCAGGCACACAGAUCUUUGAGAAGACCCUGACGGGCAAGACCAUCACCCUUGAGGUGGAGCCCACUGACACCAUUGAGAAUGUCAAAGCCAACAUCCAGGACAAGGAGGGCAUCCUGCCUGACCAGCUGCAUCUAAUUUCUGUGGGCGAACAGCUGGAAGUUGGUGGCACUGUCCGACCACAAUAUCCAGACAGAGUCCACCCUGCACUUGGUGCUUCAUCUGCAGGCUGGCAUUAUCAUCGAGCCUUCCCUCCGCCCACUGGCCCAGAAAUACAACUGCGACCAGAUGAUCCGCGGCAAGUGUUUUGCUCGCUGGCAUCCCCCGGGCUGUCAACUGCGCCACACCAACAACCCGCGCCCCAAAGAGUCCUACACCCUGUCCUACGCUCUGUCCUACGCCCUGUCCUACGCUCUGUCCUACGCCCUGUCCUACGCCCUGUCCUACGCUCUGUCCUACGCUCUGACAUUCCUUUACUACACCCUACUCUUGGCCUCUGCUCUUUGA